rnacentral:rRNA from 1 species
UACGUAGGUGGCAAGCGUUGUUCGGAUUUACUGGGCGUAAAGAGCGCGUAGGCGGAAGCUUAAGUGUGGCCUGAAAGCCCCCGGCUCAACCGGGGAAGGUGGCUGCAAACUGGGCUUCUUGAGGGGGAUAGGGGAAAGUGGAAUUCCGGGUGUAGCGGUGAAAUGCGUAGAGAUCCGGAGGAACACCAGUGGCGAAGGCGGCUUUCUGGGUCCGCCCUGACGCUGAGGCGCGAAAGCGUGGGGAGCGAACGGG